UACGUAGGGAGCAAGCGUUGUCCGGAAUCAUUGGGCGUAAAGCGCGCGUAGGUGGCUUCGUAAGUCCGUUGUGAAAGUCAAAGGCUCAACCUUUGAAAGCCGAUGGAUACUGUGGAGCUAGAGUACGGAAGAGGCGAGUGGAAUUCCUGGUGUAGCGGUGGAAUGCGCAGAUAUCAGGAGGAACACCAAUAGCGAAGGCAGCUCGCUGGGACGUUACUGACACUGAGGCGCGAAAGCCAGGGGAGCAAACGGG
rnacentral:rRNA from 1 species